CCAGGCUAGGGGUACAAGUCCUGCAGAAUUGCGUUCCACUGGACCUAAGCAACGACCUGAAAGGGUAGCGACGACGCCUGGCGUUAGAGGAGAGCGUACUGGACGCAGUGUCUCCUCUGACG
rnacentral:sRNA from 12 species